GUGUUGUCAUCUAUAUGAUCUCAGUAUUUUAAAAAUCAGCUUCCGGCCCAUAUGGUGGUUCAUGCUUGUAAUACCAGCAGUUGAAGAGGCUGAAAUGAGAGGAUUCCUUGAGCCCAGGAGUUCAAAAGCAACCUGGGCAACAUAACAAGACCCAGUCUCUAUCAAAAGUUAAAAAAA
rnacentral:lncRNA from 1 species